rnacentral:rRNA from 1 species
UAAAAUCAAUCAUUAAAACUUUCAACAACGGAUCUCUUGGUUCCGGCAUCGAUGAAGAACGCAGCGAAAUGCGAUAAGUAAUGUGAAUUGCAGAAUUCCGUGAAUCAUCGAAUCUUUGAACGCACAUUGCGCCCCCUGGCAUUCCGGGGGGCAUGCC